AAAUAUUCCUGCACCAGCGGAUGGUGACGGAUCUCAAAGUUCAAGUCUCCUGUCAGAUGGAGGUUCCCGCAAGGGCAGCGGCCCUGGAUGCCGCGAGUUGGAUGGAGAGGUUUCAAGAAAUAGCCCCGCAUAAGACCGUACUAAAACUGACACAGGUAGACGUGGAGAAUAUCCUAAGGCGCUCGAGAGAAUGGUGGUUAAGGAACUAGGCAAUCUCACCCCGUACGUUCGCAACAAGGGGGCCCUCCUCCGCAAGGAAAGGGCGCAGAGAAAAGGUCCGGGCGACUGUUUAUCAAAAACACAGGACUGUGCAAACUCGUAAGAGGACGUAUACAGUCUGACGCUUGCUCGAUGCUGGAAUGUCAAGGAAGCCGGUUCGGAGCAAUCCAAAGCUGGCGACCCAAGCACCAGUCAAUGGCGGCCGUAACUAUGACGGUCCUAAGGUAGCGAAAUUCCUUGUCAGGUAAGUUCUGAUGCGCAUGAAUAGCGUAACGACUUGGACACUGUCUCAACCACCAACUCGGUGAAAUAGAAGACGCGGUGGAGAUACCGCGUACCCGCAGCAAGACGGAAAGACCCUAUGAACCUUUACUGUAGGCUGAUUCUGAUCAAAAUUUUAAACUGCGUAGGAUAGGUGGGAGGCUUUGAAGCUUGGGUUGAGGCCCGAGUGGAGCCGUCGGUGAAAUACCACCCUGUUUACUCUUUUGGUCUAACCUGUCUCCGUGAAUCCGGAAUGGGAACAGAGUUAGCUGGGCAGUUUGACUGGGGGCGGUCUCCUCCAAAAAGGUAACGGAGGAGUGCAAAGGUCUGCUCAACAUGGUUGGAAAUCAUGUGUCGAGUGCAAUAGCAUAAGCAGGCUUUACUGUGAGUCGUACAUGACAAACAGUCACGAAAGUGGGCUAUAGUGAUCCGGUGGUCCCGUGUGGAAGGGCCAUCGCUCAACGGAUAAAAGGUACUCUAGGGAUAACAGGCUGAUCGCUCCCGAGCGUCCAUAGCGGCGGAGCGGUUUGGCACCUCGAUGUCGGCUCGUCGCAUCCUGGGGCUGAAGGCGGUCCCAAGGGUUGGGCUGUUCGCCCAUUAAAGCGGCACGCGAGCUGGGUUCAGACCGGCGUGAGCCAGGUCGGUCCCUAUCUGCUGUGGGCGUAGCAAUUUUGAGGGGAAUUUUCUCUAGUACGAGAGGACUUGGAAGGACAAACCUCUGGUGCGCCAGUUGGACCGCUCGGUCCGUGCUGGGUAGCUAAGUUUGGCAGGUAUAACCGCUGAAAGCAUCUAAGCGGGAAGCCCCCCCCGAGAUAAGAAUUGCAUGUUGGUAACAACGAAAGACCCCAGGUAGACUACCUGGUUGAUAGGCGCGAGGUGUACGGGCAGAAAUGCCUUCAGCUGACGCGUACUAAUGGUCGAACGUUUCGUCGC
rnacentral:rRNA from 1 species